AUGCGUGACAUCAACCUUUAUAGUGCGUCAUUUCUGUUGGUGGUACAGGGCUGCGUUCAGUGUGUUUCCCUAGGUCAAUGCAUCUUUAACUUGCGGUGUGUCCGCCAGGGUGUUUCUCAGUCGGGGGCAUAGGGCGCUGCGCAGGUGUGCCACUUGAGAUUUAGGUGGUUUCAUGUUAUUCAGGGAUUUGCGGUUAUACUCCAUUAUUUUUGGUGGGUUGACGCCUUGCUUAGAGGGAG